rnacentral:rRNA from 1 species
AGUGAACGCUGGCGGUAUGCCUAACACAUGUAAGUCGAACGGCAGCACAGUAAGAGCUUGCUCUUACGGGUGGCGAGUGGCGGACGGGUGAGGAAUACAUCGGAAUCUACUUUUUCGUGGGGGAUAACGUAGGGAAACUUACGCUAAUACCGCAUACGACCUACGGGUGAAAGCAGUGGAUCUUCGGACCUUGCGCGAUUGAAUGAGCCGAUGUCGGAUUAGCUAGUUGGCGGGGUAAAGGCCCACCAAGGCGACGAUCCGUAGCUGGUCUGAGAGGAUGAUCAGCCACACUGGAACUGAGACACGGUCCAGACUCCUACGGGAGGCAGCAGUGGGGAAUAUUGGACAAUGGGCGCAAGCCUGAUCCAGCCAUACCGCGUGAGUGAAGAAGGCCUUCGGGUUGUAAAGCCCUUUUGUUGGGAAAGAAAAGCAGCAGGUUAAUACCCCGCUGUUCUGACGGUACCCAAAGAAUAAGCACCGGCUAACUUCGUG